GACGAACGCUGGCGGCGUGCCUAAUACAUGCAAGUUGAGCGAUGAAGAUUGGUGCUUGCCCCAAUUUGAAGAGCAGCGAACGGGUGAGUAACGCGUGGGGAAUCUGCCUUUGAGCGGGGGACAACAUUUGGAAACGAAUGCUAAUACCGCAUAACAACUUUAAACAUAAGUUUUAAGUUUGAAAGAUGCAAUUGCAUCACUCAAAGAUGAUCCCGCGUUGUAUUAGCUAGUUGGUGAGGUAAAGGCGCACCAAGGCGAUGAUACAUAGCCGACCUGAGAGGGUGAUCUGCCACCUUGGGACUGUGACACGGCACAACCUCCUACGGGAGGCAGCAGUAGGGAAUCUUCCGAAAAGGACGAAAGGCUGACCGAGCAACGCCGAGUGAGUGAAGAAGGUUGUCGGAUCGUAAAACUCCGUUGGUAGAGAAGAACGUUGGUGAGAGUGGAAAGCGCAUCAAGUGACGGUAACUACUCAGAAAGGGACGGCUAACUACGUG
rnacentral:rRNA from 1 species